AUUGAACGCUGGCGGCAUGCUUUACACAUGCAAGUCGAACGGCAGCGCGGGCUUCGGCCUGCCGUCGAGUGGCGAACGGGCGAGUAAUUCAUCGGAACGUGCCCUGCCUUUGGGGAUAGCCCGACGAAAGCCGGCUUAAUACCGCAUAGGACAAGAGGUUGAAAGCGGGGGACCAAAAGUGAACGACGGUCUGGAGGGCCCGUAUAGGUGGAACCGUGCUGCAUUAGCAAGUUGGUACGGUGACGGCUUACCAAGGCGACGAUGCAUAGCCGACCUGAGAGGACGACCGGCCACACUGGGACUGAGACACGGCCCAGACUCCUACGGGAGGCAGCAGUGGGGAAUUUUCGACAAUGGGGGCAACCCUGAUCCAGCCAUGCCGCGUGCGGGAAGAAGGCCUUCGGGUUGUAAACCGCUUUUGUUCGGGAAGAACUCCUCUGGACUAAUCCCCCGGGGUGAUGACGGUACCGGAAGAAUAAGCACCGGCUAACUACGUG
rnacentral:rRNA from 1 species